rnacentral:rRNA from 1 species
AUGGGGGGAAGCAGCCACCGCCGCUCUGCGACACCGCAGUACGAGUUGGAUGCUUCCAAGUUCUUCAGUAUCAUACUUGGGACUUCAGUAUCAUCCAUGACGCAGAGGCCGCCUGACAGUUUUAUGAACAUGCUGGGUGAAGAUCCGCCAAAUAAUGUGAAGCCGCGACAGGCCGGCAGCGGGUUUCGCAGGCAGUGGGAUGUGGAGUUGUUGAUCAAGGAGGGCCACAUGUACUUGUCUCGUGGGUGGGAGAAGUUCUACCGUGCCUACGACCUGCGGCUGGGGUACUUCCUUCUCUUCAGGUACGACGACGACGCCACCAUGCUCAUCGUGAAGGUGUUCAACGCGACUAUGUGUCGCAUGCGCUACGCUGAUCCGGACUGGAGUGCGGGAGAAGAGGAGUAG